rnacentral:pre_miRNA from 1 species
UGAACUCAAAUUUGUAUGGAGUUGGAACGUUUGCGUACGUUUGCCGCUAGGGGCGCUGUACCAAUUGCAUACAAAUUUGAGUGA